rnacentral:lncRNA from 1 species
CUGAUCCCACAGUUUAAAUUCAUUUCAAUUCAAUAAAGAGAGUUAAGAAAGGCCUGUGUCAUAAAGAGUAUGAUUUACUCUUAUGUUGAGCCACAAAACUGAUACAAACUUGUAAACUAAAGGCCUGGCUCUUAAGAAUUUAUGAUACAGUUGGACCAGCAUGCAUGAGCCCACAGUAAACAGGACAAGAUAGAGUGGAUUUGGAGCUAAAUCCAAUGGUGAUGGCUAGUCUUCUACUUCAACCAGAUUGCAAACCCACUAAGGCCUGGGAACAUAUAUGUCUGCAUAGAAUUGAAUGAGACCUUUGAGAUCAUUCUGUAUAAUCGUUUUAUUUCUACAGCUGGGGAAAUUGAAGACCAACAAGUUGUGAGUUGUCCAAGCUCAUACUACUAAUUAGUAUUCAGAAAACUCCUUAAAAUUCUGCUUGUUUUUGUCUUCCCUUGAUUGGUGAAGAAAAGAGGGAGUGACACUUUUCUCAGGGACUUUGUUACACUGUAGUUUGUCUAGGAUUUCCUCACCUUGAGGAGUAGGAGUAGUAAGAGGCAUGAUCUUGUAGUUUUGGUAUAGAUAUUUUUGAGAAUGUGAGUCACUUAUCACUCUGUGCUGGCCAGGAAGACUUCAAUGUGGAAAUUCUGGGACUCUGAACAUUGAUUUAAAUUCUCUCCACCAAUACAGGAUAAGGCAUUAGAAUCAAGAGUUUUUCUCCAAGUGGGAACUCCAAGUGGAGUUUUUCUCCAAGGCCGAUGAGAUAAGCCCUGGUCAUAAGUGAGAAAAAGCAGUUCAGAUCUGAGCUGGGUUGGCCAGACCAGAGAGAGAAAUGGGAGCAUUAUAAGAGGCUGAGCCUGGCUCUGGAGGUGAGAGUGUUGGGCUUUCUCUUUAGACACCCAAAUGAGAGAUGCCUUCUUUCCAGCUGGGAGCCUUGAAUGGCCUAAGGUGGCUUGCCAUCACUGGUCACAUCCAUUCUUGAGCUGCAGAUAUCUGAGCCUUGAGAGUCAUCAGCCCUGAUAGCAAAAGUAGGAAAAAGUCCAGCUAGAUCAUUGCACAUUUGCCAUCUUCUCCACUAGUGCCAGAAAAUUGCUCAUUUUAAUCUUUUUUACUCAAGAAAAAAAUAUCAAUAUAUUUUGAUAAAGGUAGUUGGGUUAAACAGGAUUUCAAUAGUCCUUCUUUAACCUCCAAUCUGUUUAGAAACCAUUCUUGAGCAGCAAUACUUCUUUGCCUGAAACUGAACUGCCCAUUCCAUUGGUUUUCUCGCCAAAAAGUUGAAGAAGAAUCUAUAAAAACUGAGAGUUUUUAAUUGCUAUUAUUUUAAUAGCUUUAGGGAGGUAUCGUUAACAUACAGCCAACUGCAAAUAUUUAAAGUAUACAACUUGAUUUGAAUCUACCCUUAAACAUAAAGCUUGCUUCAAAUGACCAAGAGAAGAAUUCAUAGAACUUGACCCAUUUGCCAGGUGCAGUGGCUCACGCCUGUAAUCCCAGCACUUUGGGAGGCUGAGGUGGACAGAUCGCUUGAGGUCAAGAAUUCGAGACCAGCCUGGCCAACAUGAUGAAACCCCGUCUCUACUAAUAAUAUAAGAAUUAGCCAGGCGUGGCGGUGUGCGCCUGUAAUCCCAGCUACUUGGGAGGCUGAGGGAGGUGAAUUGCUUGAACCCAGGAAGCAGAGGUUGCAGUGAGCUGAGAUCAUGCCACUGACUCCAGCCUGGGUGACAGAGUGAGACUCCAUCUCAAAAAAACAAAAAAACAAAAAAACAAAAAAACAAAAAAAAAUCCUCAACCUUUCCUUCAGAUUUUCUACAAUAAACAUUUUUUUAAAUAAUCAGAGUUUUUUCCCAAAGGUUGUUGGUUUUUAAGUUAUAUGAUAUAUAGCCUG